CAGCACCUUGAAAACUAGCCAAUGCUUGCUCUUUGGAGGCUACAUUGGAAAUAAGUAACAAUAUAAACAUAGUGACUGGGGCUUUUAAAAUCUUAAAAGAAACCAUCACGAUCAUCUUUUCACUACUACUGAAAGGAGAACAACAAUUCACAUUUCUGGCAUUGCUAAUGGCAACACAGCAACUGAAAGAAAGCAUGAAUUUCUGGGAGUAGCAUUAGGAUAGACUCCUGCUGAGCUCACCAGUUCCUUGCUCUGCACAGCUGCUUUCUCAGCUGGGGGUUUGAAAUCAGCACAGUGAGAAGAGACAGAAAUGACCAUGAUGCAUCUUCCUCACUAUGAGAGAAAGGUAAUGUUCAAUUAGCACGUCAGCCUUCUGCUUCCCAACGGACUUAUUCCUGUCUUUUGUUUGUUUCUAUAUUUUGCUUUGGAUCUUUUACUUUAUUUUGGUUCUUUUUCAUUUUAUGGAGUUAAAUGCCUAAACUAAAAAUGUUUUUGUGCUUUCUCUGAUGAGAGAAGGACACUAUACUUCUCGUGGCUUCACUGAAAUCAACAAAAGCAGUGUGUUUAUUCAUACUCGCAGGAUAUUCACAUGGAUCAUGUCCCCCUAGGAUAACAUGUCGUCCGUGAAAUGGAGAGUCAAUUCGGCACUUAAAAAUGGGAGGUUCUUGCUUUCUUUGAAGCGACAUAGCAUUUCAGGGUGGUAGUUGAGUACAACACGAACAGAGAUGCAAGUCUUCACAUUCUGGAAGCAGUCAUCUCUGUUGCCAAGGAAACAGCCUCACUCAGCAAGGGUCACCUUUGGAAACAAUUGCAAGACUUCAAAGUCGAUCAAUACAGAAACACUAAGACCUGAACUCCCUAGCUAAUGCUGUCUUCUAUUUUAAAUGUCAUUUUUGAUCAACACUUGCAUAUGUGAUUACUACUUAGUGGACAGUAGCAAGGCAAAAUUGAAUGUGCAAAGAGUCAAAGUAUUUUUCAAGCUCUGUGCCUGGAGGUCCGUGGUUUUUUGGGGAUAUUUUGAAUGUGGGCUUGUGCAGGAUCAGGAGUCUGGAGAUGAACUGACAUAAGUUUAGAAAGAGAAGCUCCAUUUAAGACUUCAUUUGAAGAAAAAAAUUCCACUCAUUUAAAGAAUGAGGAUUCCUUACUCAUACAAGCAUAUUUCAUUGUACUUUGUCUAAAUUAGUGAGAUUUUGAAAUUUCAGUUUCUGAAAAUGUCAUAUAUGCAGAUUUCAUGUCAAUAAAUCAUGAUUUCAUCCAUGAA